rnacentral:misc_RNA from 1 species
GAUGAAGAACGCAGCGAAAUGCGAUAAGUAAUGUGAAUUGCAGAAUUCAGUGAAUCAUCGAGUUUUUGAACGCAUAUUGCGCCCUCUGGUAUUCCGGGGGGCAUGCCUGUUCGAGCGUCAUUUCAACCCUCGAGCCCCCCCGGGGGCCUCGGUGUUGGGGGACGGCACACCAGCCGCCCCCGAAAUGCAGUGGCGACCCCGCCGCAGCCUCCCCUGCGUAGUAGCACACACCUCGCACCGGAGCGCGGAGGCGGUCACGCCGUAAAACGCCCAACUUUCUUAGAGUUGACCUCGGAUCAGGUAGGAAUACCCGCUGAACUUAAGCAUAUCAAUAAGCGGAGGA